AACGAACGCUGGCGGCAUGCCUAACACAUGCAAGUCGAACGAGACCUUCGGGUCUAGUGGCGCACGGGUGCGUAACGCGUGGGAACCUGCCCUUAGGUUCGGAAUAACUCCCCGAAAGGGGUGCUAAUACCGGAAAAUGUCUUCGGACCAAAGAUUUAUCGCCUUUGGAUGGGCCCGCGUUGGAUUAGCUAGUUGGUAGGGUAAAAGCCUACCAAGGCGACGAUCCAUAGCUGGUCUGAGAGGAUGAUCAGCCACACUGGGACUGAGACACGGCCCAGACUCCUACGGGAGGCAGCAGUGGGGAAUAUUGGACAAUGGGCGAAAGCCUGAUCCAGCAAUGCCGCGUGAGUGAUGAAGGCCUUAGGGUUGUAAAGCUCUUUUACCCGGGAUGAUAAUGACAGUACCGGGAGAAUAAGCGCCGGCUAACUCCGUG
rnacentral:rRNA from 1 species